ACAGAGGAGGAGUGUAGAUUUGGCACUUGAGUGCAAACACUGGGUCCCUGCUGUGCCACAUCUCUGGUUGCCUUAGCCUUAAAUAUUUCGGUUAUUCAUCUAGGAGUACAUGUUCUGAAAUACAUAAUUGUUGGGCUCUUCCAGAAGCUCUUCAAGUGCAGAAUGCCUUGGGCCUUCCUCCCAGACAGCUUCCACCUGCAGGAAAAGGCAGCCUUGUCUCUAAAUGCCUCAUUUUCAGCUGCCACCAACUGUUUAUCUCUGCAAAGGAAGCAGCCAGGGCCAUUUUUCUUCCUGCUUUGCUGUAGGUUCUUUAGAGCAAGAAGUUGUUGAGCAUGAAGGCAGCACGGACCCUGGCCAUGCUCUGUGCAUGCUGCAGCAAUGUGAAUAUCCCUUUGACUGUGACCCUGCCAUUUUAGUCAUGGUCUCUCUGGGGUACAUCAUGCCUAACUUCUCCCACUGUACAUCCCUGAGAGCAGAGGAAGUGCUGGCCUCCGAGGCGGCAACUGGGGUGAGUGCAGUCCUUUGUUUUUACCGGAUAUUUCCAGGGCAGCACAGAAAAAGCAAUCACAUCUGGGACCACCUCAAGGGGCUGCUGGCAAAAAUCCAGAGGCUCCACAGCAGAAGCAGCAGAUUGCGGAUUUCGAUGCCUUGGGCAGGAUGUCUGUUUCCACAAUGGCUGGGGAAGGAAGCAAUAUAAAGGGAGAUGGUCUGAUAAGAGCACAGCUAUGAUAAAAAGGCUCUGUUCAGUACUAAUUUCUUCCAGCAAAAAGAAAGGUACUCACAGUCACUGGGUUACAGACAUCAGUCUCUUGCCUCAGUGAAAAGGGAACUGGUUAAUCCUGAGGCAAUAUUGAAUACUAGAUUUUAAAACAAGUACAAAAAUAGACAGAGAGCAGAACAGAUGUGACUGACAGUGGGUUCUCCUCAUUCAUCCUGCAGUUUUGCAGAAAGUUGUUAAACUAAUUUCUUCAUCAAUUUCAAUGCUGGUGGCUCUGUCCUGCUUUGUCACCGACAGAAGAAAAUUAGCAGCCACAAAGUGAAGCUCUGUGCUUUGUGAAAUCAAGCAUCAUUUCCACAAUAAAAACUAGCAGGCUUUAACUUACA
rnacentral:lncRNA from 1 species